GUCGAGGAUCUUCGGCAAUGGGCGCAAGCCUGACCGAGCGACGCCGCGUGGGCGAUGAAGGCCUUCGGGUUGUAAAGCCCUGUCGGGGGGGAGAAAAGGGCAACCUUGAUCGACCCCCGGAGGAAGCACGGGCUAAGUUCGUGCCAGCAGCCGCGGUAAGACGAACCGUGCGAACGUUGUUCGGAAUCACUGGGCUUAAAGGGCGCGUAGGCGGGCUCGCCGGUCCGGGGUGAAAGCCCCCAGCUCAACUGGGGAAGCGCCUUGGAUACCGCGAGUCUGGAGGGAGGUAGGGGCGUGCGGAACUUCCGGUGGAGCGGUGAAAUGCGUAGAUAUCGGAAGGAACACCGGUGGCGAAAGCGGCGCGCUGGACCUCUUCUGACGCUGAGGCGCGAAAGCCAGGGGAGCAAACGGGAUUAGAAACCCCUGUAGUCC
rnacentral:rRNA from 1 species